UUGUCUUUGUUGUUGAAGGUACAACCCAAACCUCCACAACUGAGGGGGUCCACCAUAUCCUCUGGGCUACUGAAGAUAAUCCCAUUGUAAGUUGUUAUGAAUUUUCAGCAUUUCCCUGGCACUCAUUACUGUGACACCCAAGCACCUGGAUACAAGCAAUACACUUUGACCUGUCAAGCUAUUGCAAACUGCUGCAAAUGAAACACCUGUAACCAUUGUGGAUAACUAUUGGAAAACAAAUUUGAAGUCAAAAACCCCACAAAAUAUGAACGUAGUAAAAAUUCUUCAGAGGACUGCAGUAAGCACCACUUAUACACAAUCCUUGUAAUUCUGUGUAGACUAAACCUGCAAGGUAAACUCCGGCUGCACACAGUUCAUUUCACCGUUUGGUUAUAGUGAGAUUACAAACUGGAACCAGU
rnacentral:lncRNA from 1 species